rnacentral:rRNA from 1 species
GACGAACGCUGGCGGCGUGCCUAAUACAUGCAAGUAGGACGCAGUUGCGAACGGGUGAGUAACGCGUAGGUAACUGCCUAUUAGAGGGGGAUAACUAUUGGAAACGAUAGCUAAUACCGCAUCCUAGUAGAUGGACCUGCGUUGUAUUAGCUAGUAGGUAGGGUAAUGGCCUACCUAGGCGACGAUACAUAGCCGACCUGAGAGGGGGAUCGGCAAAACGGGGACUGAGACACGGCCCAGACUCCUACGGGAGGCAGCAGUAGGGAAUAUUGGACAAUGGGCGAAAGCCUGAUCCAGCCAUGCCGCGUGUGUGAAGAAGGUCUUCGGAUUGUAAAGUACUUUCAGCGGGGAGCGUUACCCGCAGAAGAAGCACCGGCUAACUCCGUGCCAGCCGCCGCGGUAAUAC